GAAUGCUGACAUAAGUAACGAUAAAGCGGGUGAAAAGCCCGCUCGCCGGAAGACCAAGGGUUCCUGUCCAACGUUAAUCGGGGCAGGGUGAGUCGACCCCUAAGGCGAGGCCGAAAGGCGUAGUCGAUGGGAAACGGGUUAAUAUUCCCGUACUUGGUGUUACUGCGAAGGGGGGACGGAGAAGGCUAUGUUGGCCGGGCGACGGUUGUCCCGGUUUAAGCGUGUAGGUGUGUGUUCCAGGUAAAUCCGGUUCACUUUAACACUGAGGCGUGACGACGAGGCACUACGGUGCUGAAGCAACAAAUGCCCUGCUUCCAGGAAAAGCCUCUAAGCAUCAGGUAACAUCAAAUCGUACCCCAAACCGACACAGGUGGUCAGGUAGAGAAUACCAAGGCGCUUGAGAGAACUCGGGUGAAGGAACUAGGCAAAAUGGUGCCGUAACUUCGGGAGAAGGCACGCUGACACGUAGGUGAAGUGAUUUACUCAUGGAGCUGAAGUCAGUCGAAGAUACCAGCUGGCUGCAACUGUUUAUUAAAAACACAGCACUGUGCAAACACGAAAGUGGACGUAUACGGUGUGACGCCUGCCCGGUGCCGGAAGGUUAAUUGAUGGGGUCAGCGCAAGCGAAGCUCCUGAUCGAAGCCCCGGUAAACGGCGGCCGUAACUAUAACGGUCCUAAGGUAGCGAAAUUCCUUGUCGGGUAAGUUCCGACCUGCACGAAUGGCGUAAUGAUGGCCAGGCUGUCUCCACCCGAGACUCAGUGAAAUUGAACUCGCUGUGAAGAUGCAGUGUACCCGCGGCAAGACGGAAAGACCCCGUGAACCUUUACUAUAGCUUGACACUGAACAUUGAGCCUUGAUGUGUAGGAUAGGUGGGAGGCUUUGAAGUGUGGACGCCAGUCUGCAUGGAGCCGACCUUGAAAUACCACCCUUUAAUGUUUGAUGUUCUAACGUGGACCCGUUACCCGGGUUGCGGACAGUGUCUGGUGGGUAGUUUGACUGGGGCGGUCUCCUCCUAAAGAGUAACGGAGGAGCACGAAGGUUGGCUAAUCCUGGUCGGACAUCAGGAGGUUAGUGCAAUGGCAUAAGCCAGCUUGACUGCGAGCGUGACGGCGCGAGCAGGUGCGAAAGCAGGUCAUAGUGAUCCGGUGGUUCUGAAUGGAAGGGCCAUCGCUCAACGGAUAAAAGGUACUCCGGGGAUAACAGGCUGAUACCGCCCAAGAGUUCAUAUCGACGGCGGUGUUUGGCACCUCGAUGUCGGCUCAUCACAUCCUGGGGCUG
rnacentral:rRNA from 2 species